GACGAACGCUGGCGGCGUGCUUAACACAUGCAAGUCGAACGGAAAGACCCUGCUUUUGUGGGGUGCUCGAGUGGCGAACGGGUGAGUAACACGUGAGUAACCUGCCCUUGACUUUGGGAUAACUUCAGGAAACUGGGGCUAAUACCGGAUAGGAGCUCCUGCUGCAUGGUGGGGGUUGGAAAGUUUCGGCGGUUGGGGAUGGACUCGCGGCUUAUCAGCUUGUUGGUGGGGUAGUGGCUUACCAAGGCUUUGACGGGUAGCCGGCCUGGGAGGGUGACCGGCCACAUUGGGACUGAGAUACGGCGCAGACUCCUACGGGAGGCAGCAGUGGGGAGUAUUGCACAAUGGGCGGAAGCCUGAUGCAGCAACGCCGCGUGCGGGAUGACGGCCUUCGGGUUGUAAACCGCUUUCGCCUGUGACGAAGCGUGAGUGACGGUAAUGGGUAAAGAAGCACCGGCUAACUACGUG
rnacentral:rRNA from 1 species